CUACUGCCUAUAACGAAAGAUGGGGAUAAUGUGUACCUGUCCACUUCUUCUGACUUCCUUUCUUUUCUCUUGUGUUUUCAAGGUUCCAAACAUUAAUGUUGUAUUCUGUAAAUACAUGUGUGAGAAUGACUGGAUCCCUGUCCUGGACAGCAGUUGGCUUCACCCAGUUUCAACAAGAUGAAUAUUCCAAGACUGGCCUCGGGUGGCUCCUGCUCAUACUUCCAUAAGGAUAUUAAGUCAGAGGGCAAAUGAGAGACCAACUGACCAGGAAGGAAGACCAUGCCACAUCACUGGGAAGAAGGCGUGUUGGAAGGCAAGUGAGGGAGAAUGAAGGAGAGAAAAAUUGACAGGCGGUUAUUGUUAAGAAGGAACUGCAGUCCCACUAAACACCACAAGAAUCCAGCCAGGCAAAUAAACCGGGGGAAAUACUCGCUCUCCACAGGACAAAGGGUGAUAUCCUUAACAGGAAAAGAGCUCCUGCCAAAAGGUAAUAAUAAAAGCAUUAAGUUCCCCAUCAGUAAAGGGGGGAAGGGAGUAAAGACAAUUGAAAGCACAGAUAUAUUGAUGGCUAAGAAACAUUUGAACAUUUUUCAACCUCCCUCAUCAUCAAAGAAAAGGAAAUUUGCAUAACAGGGAAAUGCUAUUGUUAACCUAUCAGAUUACUAGAACACUAAAAAAGAAAGAGAGAGAGAGAGAGAAUAUUCGAAUGCGGACAUGGAGUGUAGUGACACAGAGGAGCUCAGCUCAGCUGGAAGGAAUACAAAGCGGUUCCAGCCCUCGGCAAGGAAUGUGGCGUGCAGUGUGCGAGCCUUGAAAAUAUUUGUAACGCUCACCUCCAAAAGUCUACUUCUGGGAUUCUAAUGAUGGAAAUGAUCCAAAACAGAGAAAAGGGGUUUUCUGCCAGAGACAUUCAUUGCACUGCUGUUUAUAAUAUUAAAAUUGGGGAAUAAACUAAAUUUCCAAAAAAUAAGAGUGAUAUUA
rnacentral:lncRNA from 1 species